rnacentral:lncRNA from 1 species
AAAGUUAUGAAACUUAAUAGGAUUGUUGACUGUCAAGUCUGCAUGAAAUUUUUGGAGUUGGAAUUUCCAAAAUGGCCACCGUUGCCAUGGAAACUGCAGAAAUGUUAAAUAUUUUCAAAAUGCUCCAAACUUAAUGAAACUUAAUAUUAUUGUCAACUGGCAUGUAUAGAUGAGACUUUUGACUUUGGAAUUUUCAAAAUGGCUGCCGUUGCCAUGGAAACAGCAGAAAUGUGAAACUUUUGACAAUGCUCUUAUUGUAUUGAAAAUUAACAAAAAGAUAUAUCGCAAUUCAUAGAUCUGCAUUCACUGUUAAGUUGUUUUGAAAUGGCUGCCGCUUAGUGGCAAUGGGGGAAGGGUGACAUCCGCUAUUGCUUGCAAUGGCAAUUCUAGUUAUUUUUAUUAUUCUUCUUCUUCCGCCACUUUAAAAAAUGAACUUGUCCGCAGCGUUUCUCCAAAACCGCUUGUCAGAUUGACUUAGGAUUUCAUAAAAUGGUAAACUAAUAUGUCUAGGUGAGCCAUCAAUCUUUCGUUUGUGCAUUGGGGUCUAUUAAGGGGUAUUUUGGGGGUAGAAAGGAGGGAGGGGUUUACUAUAGAACCCUAUGGGAUUUUAUUUUCUAAAAUUUUCAAAUGAAUAUAACUUGAAAACUGUAAGUGAUAGAUACAUGCAGUCUUCAGAAAUGAUUAUAGGACAAUAAAACAAGUCAUAUGAAAUAUAGGGGGAGUCCCUGUGGGGUCAUCCCCACCCCCUUCAAUUUGAGAAUAUGCUUUUAUCUUGUAAACGGUCCAGAUCCCACCCUAACCAUACUAUUCUUGUAGGGGACAAUAAAACAAAUGAAAUGAAAUAAAAGGGAAGUCCCCGGGGGUCAUCCACACCCCAUUCAAUAUGAGAAUGUGCUAUUAUCUUGUAAACGGUUCAGAUCCCCACCCCUAAACAUACAUAUUCUGUAGGGGACAAUAAAACAAAUGAAAUGAAAUAAAAGGGAAGUCCCUAGGGUCACCCCACCCCC